rnacentral:rRNA from 1 species
CCUACGGGAGGCAGCAGUGGGGAAUAUUGCACAAUGGGGGAAACCCUGAUGCAGCGACGCCGCGUGUGGGAAGACGGGCCUCUGGAUUGUAAACCACUGUCCCCAGGGACGAGGAUGACGGUACCUGAGGAGGAAGCUCCGGCUAACUACGUGCCAGCAGCCGCGGUAAUACGUAGGGAGCGAGCGUUGUCCGGAAUUACUGGGUGUAAAGGGAGCGUAGGCGGGACUGCAAGUUGGGUGUCAAAUCUCCCGGCUCAACCGGUAGCCGCACUCAGAACUGCAGUUCUUGAGUGUAGUAGAGGCAGGCGGAAUUCCUGGUGUAGCGGUGAAAUGCGUAGAUAUUAGGAGGAACACCAGUGGCGAAGGCGGCCUGCUGGGCUUUUACUGACGUUGAGGCUCGAAAGUGUGGGGAGCAAACAGGAUUAGAUACCCUAGUAGUC